rnacentral:rRNA from 1 species
GCUGAACGCUUGCUGCGUGCCUAAUACAUGAAAGUCGAGCGAAGCGGGGACGGGUGAGUAACACGUGGAUAACCUCCUAUAAGACUGGGAUAACUUCGGGAAACCGGAGCUAAACCGGAUACUUAUACAUGGAUCCGCGCUGCAUUAGCGAGUUGGUAAGGUAACGGCUUACCAAGGCAACGAUGCCUAGCCGACCUGUGAGGGGGAUCGGCCACACUGGAACUGAGACACGGUCCAGACUCCUACGUGAGGCAGCAGUAGGGAAUCUUCCGCAAGGGGCGAAAGCCUGACGGAGCAACGCCGCGUGAGUGAUGAAGGUCUUCGGAUCGUAAAACUCUGUUAUUAGGGAAGCGGUACCUAAUCAGAAAGCCACGGCUAACUACGUGCCAGCAGCCGCGGUAAUUC